rnacentral:misc_RNA from 1 species
AAAGUCGUAACAAGGUUUCCGUAGGUGAACCUGCGGAAGGAUCAUUAACAAAUUCCAAAACUCGUUUUCCGAGCGAAUCUGAGCUGGUCUUCUCCACAAGAGAGGAUCAGUUUAGAUCCGCUCGGAUCACAAAAUUACAUUUACAUUACUGGACAACCACAGGUAACCAAACCAAGGAUAAACCAAUGGUAAAAACAACUUUUAACAAUGGAUCUCUUGGCUCUU